AUAUUUUCGUGUUAGAAAUUUACUUUUCCGGCCUCGACACAGUCAAAAUUCCAGCAGACAGCUAAAUUCCCAGUUUCAAAGCCACAGUUUUUGGGUCCUCGUUUUUGUCCACUUUAUGUCACUUUGUGUUCCACUGUGCGUUGCGCGGCCUCACCGAAGAUUGGGAAGAAGAAGAACGGCGAACAGCUGAGGCCGAUAGCAACAAUCGAUUGCUAUCGUAAUCGUUUACUUGGAUUGCUGCGAUUUUUCCAGAUUUUCCGAGUACUUACAAGAGACAAAAAUUGGAUCAGAUAAUGUUGGAGACCCUAGAAAUUUGCGGAUCUUUUAAAACAGUAUAACCACCGAAUAAGCAAGAAGAAGCAUAACGAGUGUGGCAGCCAAAACAACGAGAAUCACACGCACGCACACAGCCACAAAAAUUACGUGCAGAGCGCAAUCUAUUCCCCCCAUUUUCCUCCGAAAAUAAAGCAAGGCAGGCGGAAAAUCAACCAAAUUGCGACGCAUUUUGGAGAGCGACGAAAAAACAACAAGUGGAUACAAAAAAGGAAUCCCUGCAAGCCGAGCCAUCCCCAGCAGGAGUCACAACAACUUACAGAUCAACUUUGCAGAUCAGCAGAGCAAGAAGAAGAAGCGGCGACCAGCUGAGUAACGAAGCAAAGCAGGGGCGCAGGGGAAUCCGAGUCCAGAAGCAACUGCAGCGGGCGCGGAGGAAGCGGUAGAAGGAACAGAGGUAGAAGGCGCACAGGCGGCGGGCGGCAGCCACCAUGAGCAUGGUGCGGCGGAUUAUCCUGCUGGGCCCCAAAUACAGUGUGUGGGCAAAGGGAAGCGGGGCUGGUCAAUCACAGCGCUCGGCAAGAUGUGUUAUCCUAAGCGCAGGAUCUGCGGAUGACAGCAACUGUGGCGUAAGACGCUUCCACCUAGCAACACGGAACUGCGCGAGGAAUCGACUGAUGAGAUUGGAGCCCGCGAUGGCAAUACCGGCAUAUAUUGAUGUAACCAACGCCACUUCAAGAACGCCAGGGGACUCCAGCGACAGUGGGAGCGGCAGCGAAGGGGGAGCCAGUGCGUCGGGAGGUAGUGGAGCGAAGAGCCCCGGCAGUGCGGCUGGUUCUGGUGCAAGUUCUACUAGUGGCGCCGAUCCGCCAGGCGGCGGCAGUGACAAGUUCCUCUCGUGCCCAAAGUGCGGCAGCGCCUGCACCCAAGUUGAGACUUUUGUCAGCUCGACGCGGUUCGUGAAGUGCGCCAAGUGCAACUACUUCUUUGUUGUGCUCUCGGAAGUGGAGACCAAGCAGCGCACCAAGGACGAGCCCAAGAACCAGCGCAAGCCGCCACCUCCACCACAAAAGAUCAUGGAGUACCUGGACAAGCACGUUGUGGGACAGGACUUCGCCAAAAAGGUGCUGGCGGUGGCCGUCUACAACCACUACAAGCGCAUCCACCACAAUCUGCCGCAACUGCAAAACCAGGGAGCUGGUGCCAGUGGAUCCGGUGGCGGCCUAGAUGGUAUUCCUCGGCCCGACCUGCUACACAUCACCGGUAUCGGUCACACGCUGAACAGCUCGCCGGGCAACGAACUGCCUCCAAAGUCGCCGGCUCAGAUGGGCAUGGGCGGGGGAAUGGGAGGACCUGGACUUGGAGCAGGACUAACGGGUGCAUCAUCGAGCAAUGCGCGUGGAGGUGGCGACCAUCGAUCCGGAUCAGAAAUACUUGACCGGCAUUCCAGCGAUGUUAAGCUGGAAAAGAGUAACAUAAUCAUGUUGGGCCCCACGGGAUCCGGUAAGACGCUGAUCGCCCAGACUAUUGCCAAGUGCCUCGAUGUGCCCUUCGCCAUUUGCGACUGCACCACCUUGACACAGGCGGGCUAUGUAGGCGAGGACAUCGAGAGCGUUAUUUCAAAGCUACUGCAAGAUGCCAACUACAAUGUAGAGCGCGCACAGACGGGCAUUGUUUUCCUCGACGAGGUGGACAAAAUCGGUGCCGUCCCCGGAAUUCACCAGCUUCGUGACGUUGGAGGCGAGGGCGUGCAGCAGGGCAUGCUAAAAAUGCUCGAAGGCACUGUGGUCAACGUGCCGGAGCGGAACUCCCCGCGCAAACUGCGUGGCGAGACCGUCCAGGUGGACACUACAAACAUCCUUUUCGUGGCCUCUGGUGCCUACACAGGACUGGACAGGCUUAUCGCACGUCGUCUCAACGAAAAGUAUUUGGGUUUCGGCAUGCCUUCGACCAGCGGAUCUGGCCGUCGUGCAGCUCAAUCAGCCGCCAGUCCCAUGGACAACGACCAGGAGGAGCGUGAUAAAUGCCUGACCAAAGUGCAGGCUCGUGAUCUCGUUGAGUUCGGCAUGAUACCGGAAUUCGUUGGACGUUUCCCGGUUAUCGUCCCCUUCCACAGUUUGAACGUUAGCAUGCUUGUGCGUAUCCUUACAGAGCCGCGAAACGCUCUAGUGCCGCAAUAUAAGGCACUCCUGGGUCUUGAUGAGGUAGAUCUUACGUUCACCGAGGAUGCUGUAAAGUCGAUAGCCCAGCUGGCGAUGGAAAGGCACACGGGAGCUCGUGGACUGCGCUCCAUAAUGGAACAACUGCUGCUGGAUCCCAUGUUCAUAGUGCCUGGUUCAGAUAUUCGGGGUGUUCACAUAACCGCCGAUUAUGUCAAGGGCAGCUCCACCCCCGAGUACAGUCGUGAUGCAGACGCCCCGGCAUCUGGGACGGUUGCCACGGAUUCCGAUACCACAACCGAUAAUGAUAAGAACUUUGAGAAUAGUGAGAAAAUCCCUUCCUCAAACCCAUCACUCUGUAAAAUAUGACCCGCUGAGGAGUGUAUGAAUGCUCUCGCAUACAAUCAUAAUGAAUAUAUCCUCAAUCCCAUAUGCAUCUGUGAUUCAUAAACGACGAGCAGCGCAAUCUUUUGAGCCCGAAGCAAUUCAGAUCGGACCGUUUUAGUUCGGCUAUUGUGAUCUUGCCGCUCCAACUGCGGUUUACCGAAUAGAAAAUGCGCGCGAUGACUGUGUGCACGUAUCUGGAAUGGAACUCCGUGGCUUCCUUGAGAAAGGCCAAGCCGGGGUGUGUGUCCACCACAUCCUGCACCAUGGGCACCAGGUCCUCGGGCACGAUAUACGAACGGAAUCUCUGGCCACGCGACAGAAUGUACACGAAUCUCGAGGCCGCCUCAUGGCAAUAAACAUUCAUUCUGCAAGUAAAAUUAAAAUAAAUAAAAUAAUAAAUAUAAAUAUAUGUGAGCCUAGAAAGAUUUACACAAUACAAUACCAACAUUAAAAA